AGCGGCGGACGAGUGAGUAACACGUACCUAAUCUACCUAUAAGUGGGGAACAACCGCCCGAAAGGGUGGCUAAUACCGCAUGUGCUCUACGGAGUAAAGCUUUUGCGCUUAUAGAUGAGGGUGCGUCCUAUCAGCUAGUUGGUAAGGUAAUUGCUUACCAAGGCUAUGACGGGUAGCUGGUCUGAGAGGAUGAUCAGCCACGCUGGGACUGAGAUACGGCCCAGACUCCUACGGGAGGCAGCAAGUGGGAAUAUUGCACAAUGGGCGAAAGCCUGAUGCAGCGACACCGCGUGAAGGAUGAAGGUUUUCGGAUCGUAAACUUCUUUUAUAGAGCACCAAGAUAUGAGGGCUCUACGAACAAGCACCUGCUAACUACGUGCCAGCAGCCGCGGUAAUACGUGGGGUGCAAGCGUUAUCCGGAAUUAUUGGGCGUAAAGAGAUGCGUAGGUGGUCAGUAAAGUUUUUGGUGAAAUCCCCGGGCUCAACCCGGGAACUGCCAAGAAUACUCACUGACUUCGAGGGAAUCAGGGGGUGCUGGAACUCGUGGUGUAGUAGUAAAAUGCGUUGAUAUCACGAGGAACACCAAAGGCGAAGGCAGGCACCUGGGAUUCUCCUGACACUGAGGCUCGAAAGCGUGGGGAGCGAAACGGAUUAGAUACCCGUGUAGUCCACGCCGU
rnacentral:rRNA from 1 species